rnacentral:rRNA from 1 species
UACAGAGGUGGCAAGCGUUGUUCGGAAUUACUGGGCGUAAAGGGCGAGUAGGCGGCCUUCUAAGUCAGACGUGAAAUCCCCCGGCUUAACCUGGGAACUGCGUCUGAUACUUGGAGGCUAGAGUAUGGGAGAGGAAGGUAGAAUUCCAGGUGUAGCGGUGAAAUGCGUAGAUAUCUGGAGGAAUACCGGUGGCGAAGGCGGCCUUCUGGACCAUAACUGACGCUGAUCCGCGAAAGCUAGGGGAGCAAACGGG